UACCAAAGAAGAAGAACACAUGGAAUUAUCAUAUUCUUUCCGAAGUUUUCUGAGAGGGGUUUGCUGGUUUCAUUUGAUGUUAUUCUGCCCAGGUCAUCAACACAGCGCUGGUUAAUAGUUUAUGCUGCUCAUGGUUUGCGUGGACUGUCUUGUCGUUUAGGAAGAACUAUCCUCGUUUCCUCAUUACCAUACGAAAGUGGCAUCAUUGUUUGUGCUGGUGGCAGAAUAGUACUGUGCUGUUGCCAUGGGAGAUAGAGCAAAGAAACAACAUCUACUGGACCAAUUUUUGAAGAAGACUUCUCGUCCAAGUAACACUUCAAACAACCAACAAGAAACUCCUGGCCAAUCUCCAGGAGCUGAUGCCAAGCUCCCAUUCUAAAGCUCC